UGAAUAAAUUAAAUGGCUGCAGUAUAAAUAACUGUACAAAGGUAGCAUAAUCAAUUGAUUUUUAAAUGAAAUCUGGAAUAAAAGAAUUAAUGAAAUAUAUACUGUCUCAUAUAUAUAAUAUAAACUUAAAUUUUUAAUAAAAAUGUUAAAAUUUAUUUAUGGGACUAUAAGACCCUAUAGAAUUUUAUAUUAAAUUAUUUUUAUAAAUAUUAAAUAUAAAAUUUAAAUUAAUAUUUAAUUGGNAGAAUUAUUAAAUUUAAAAAAUUUUAAUUUAAAAAAAACUUUAAUUAAAGAAUAUAUCUUGAUCUUUAAAUUAAAAUUAAUAGAAUAAAUUACCUUAGGGAUAACAGCGUUAUAUUUUUUUAUAGAUCACAUAGAAAAAAAUGAUUGCGACCUCGAUGUUGAAUUAAGAUAAAUUUUAAAUGUAGAAAUUUAAUAAUUAAGUCUGUUCGACUUUUAAAAUCUUACAUGAUUUGAGUUCAAAUCGACGUAAGUCAGAUUG
rnacentral:rRNA from 1 species